AAAACAUCGCCUCCUGCAAAUUUUUAAUGUAUAAGAGGUCCUACCUGCCCGGUGACUUUAAGUUAAACGGCCGCGGUAUUUUGACCGUGCUAAGGUAGCGCAAUCACUUGUCUUUUAAAUGAAGACCUGUAUGAAUGGUGAAACGAAGGCUUAACUGUCUCCCCCUUUCAGUCAAUGAAAUUGAUCUGUCCGUGCAGAAGCGGACAUACAAAUACAAGACGAGAAGACCCUUUGGAGCUUAAGACAAAAGAUCAAUUAUAUUAAACUUCCUAACAAAACGGGACCAAACAAGAUAAUUUACCUGAUCUAAUGUCUUCGGUUGGGGCGACCGCGGGGGAAAAAAAAGCCCCCAUGUAGAAUUAGGGAAUUCCCUAAACUAAGAGAGACAUCUCUAAGUCACAGAACAUCUGACUUAAAGAUCCGGCAUAUUAAACCGACCAACGAACCAAGUUACCCUAGGGAUAACAGCGCAAUCCCCUCCAAGAGUCCAUAUCGACAAGGGGGUUUACGACCUCGAUGUUGGAUCAGGACAUCCUAAUGGUGCAGCCGCUAUUAAGGGUUCGUUUGUUCAACGAUUAAAGUCCUACGUGAUCU
rnacentral:rRNA from 1 species